rnacentral:rRNA from 1 species
GAGUUUGAUCUUGGCUCAGGAUGAACGCUAGCGGCAGGCUUAACACAUGCAAGUCGAGGGGCAGCACGGUGUAGCAAUACAUUGGUGGCGACCGGCGCACGGGUGCGUAACGCGUAUACAAUUUGCCUUAUACAGGGAGAUAGUCCGGAGAAAUUCGGAUUAAUAUCCCAUAACACUGCGCUAUGGCAUCAUAGUGCAUUUAAAGCUACGGCGGUAUAAGAUGAGUAUGCGUCUGAUUAGCUAGUUGGUGAGGUAACGGCUCACCAAGGCGACGAUCAGUAGGGGGCCUGAGAGGGUUAUCCCCACACUGGAACUGAGACACGGUCCAGACUCCUACGGGAGGCAGCAGUGAGGAAUAUUGGUCAAUGGAGGCAACUCUGAACCAGCCAUGCCGCGUGUAGGAAGAAUGCCCUAUGGGUUGUAAACUACUUUUAUUUGGGAAGAAACCCCCUUACGAGUAAGGGGCUGACGGUACCAAAGGAAUAAGGACCGGCUAACUCCGUGCCAGCAGCCGC